GACGGGGGGGGCAAGUGUUCUCCGGAAUGACUGGGCGUAAAGGGCACGUAGGCGGUGAAUCGGGUUGAAAGUGAAAGUCGCCAAAAACUGGCGGAAUGCUCUCGAAACCAAUUCACUUGGGUGAGACAGAGGAGAGUGGAAUUUCGUGUGUAGGGGUGAAAUCCGCAAAUCUACGAAGGAAGGCCAAAAGCGAAGGCAGCUCUCUGGGUCCCUACCGACGCUGGGGUGCAAAAGCAUGGGGAGCGAACAGG
rnacentral:rRNA from 1 species